CUGUGAGAGGAAUGAUGUAUUACUACAAGGCCCUCAAGAUGCUUGCUUUUCUUGAUACUGCUUCAGAGGUUGAAAUUAAGG